GGGGCCCUGGAGGGCGUCGGGGCCCCGACUCGGGGCAGGCGGGGACUGCGGGGGGGCCCGGCCCGGGGCCCUGCCGGCCGCCCACCCUCCCUCGUGGGGCCAGCGGCGCCCCGGCCCGGGCCCCGCCACCAGGCCGGCCCCGGCCCGGUCCCCCCGGCCCAGCCCCCGGCCCCCCGGCGAGCUGCUCCGGGCCCGGCCCGGCCGCCACGGCUACGGCCGCCUCCGCCUCCUCCUCCUCCGCGCAGCCCGCCGCCCCGCCGCUGCCCGCCGCCGAGCCGCCCUCCAGGCACAUCUGCCCCCGGGGCCCCGGGGGCCGCCGGGGGCGGGCGGGCGCGGGGAGGGCCGGGGAGCCGGCCGGGAGCUCGCGGGCCGGCGGCCGCGGCGGACGCAGCCCGCGCCCGCGCUCCUGGGCCCGGAGCCCCGGCGGCGGCGGCGGGGGCAGCGGGAGCGGCAUGCCGCCCGGGCCCUGCUCCGCGGAGCCCCGCGAUCCUCGCUCCGUCCGUCCUCUCCCGCGCUCUGGCCGGCCGGCCGUCCUCCCGUCCUCCGGUCCUCCCGUCGUCCCGUCCUCCGGUCCUCCCGUCCUCCGGUCCGCGCGUCCGCCCGCGGACUUCAGUCUGCUGCGGGAGCCCGAAAGCUGGGAAGGCGGCCGGGGGGGCGGUCGGGGGCGGGGCUCAGACGACGGCCAGGACCUCCCCCUACGCGCGCGGCGGCCAAUGAGCGCCAGGCCCGGCGUCCCCAUCCCGCCCCGCCCCCCGCCCCCACGUGCCGCUCCGCCCCUCUCGGCCGGGGAGGGAGGGGGAGGGGGAGGGGGAGCAGGAAGGCGGGGCGGCGCUGCUUCUCGGGCUCCCGGCGGCGGCGGCGGCCUCGCGCCCAGGCGCACCCUGUGGCCGCAUCCCCCUAAUCCGUAGCAGCGCCCGGGGCUCCAAGGGGGGCGGCUGCGCAGGGCGGAGAAGCGCGGUCUGCGCCCGCCGAGGGGGCCCUCGGGCUCCCCCCCCCCGUCUCGCCCCCCCUGCCCCGGUUCCGGGGUGGGAGGCCCCCCAACGUCCCCGGCACCUGCGUGCGCGGCUGCCCCUCCCCCGCAGCGGGACCCCGCCGGCCGUCAGGGCCCGCCAUCCCCUUCCGUUCAUCCUCAAGGUUACAGAGCCGAGGCUCGGGGCGGGCCUUGGGAGGGGCGGGGCCGCCCGGCCUCCGGCCCCGCCCAGGGCCCCCCAGGGAAGAGGCUCCCGCUCGCUGGGCCCGGGCACCGGCCCUAGGCCUGAAGGGGUCCCGGGGUGGCUGCGGAGGCCUGGGAGCACGCGGGGCUCCAGGGCCCGGCGGGGAAGCGGCCCCGGCCGUCAUUUGGCCGUUUCCUCACGCGGAGGGCGCCCGGCGGCGGCAGAG
rnacentral:lncRNA from 1 species